rnacentral:rRNA from 1 species
GAUGAACGCUGGCGGCAUGCCUAACACAUGCAAGUCGAGCGGGAAGUGGUGUAUCCAGUUGCGAUCGGGUGAGCAACGCGUAAGAAAGUGCCCUUGGGAGGGGAACAAUAACUGGAAACGGUUGCUAAUACCCCGCAGGCCGAGGAGCAAAAGGAGAAAUCCGCCCCAGGAGGGGCUCGCGUAUGACUAGCUAGCUGGUGCGGUAAUAGCUUACCAAGGCGCGGAAGCGUAGUUGGUAGGAGUGGGAGAACAGCCACACUGGGACUGAGGCCAGGCGCAGGGUCCCUUGGGAGACGGGAGAAGGGAAGAUUGCGCAAUGCGCGGUGACCUAACGAGGCAAUGCCGCGUGGAGAUUGUGGUCCUAGGGAUGAACAACUUCUUAAGUCACAAUGGAAGCAUUGACGGUAUCUGAGCAGUAAGCAACGGCUAACUCUGUG